AGAUGGGAAAUGUGCCAACGUCACAACAAGGUUUGAGGGAGGCACAUCUCAUGCUCGGACAUGAACACCCGAUCAUCAUGCUUAUGAACUACAAAAGGAUCUCCAGUAUGGGCUCACGGCAGUUGGCCCUUGAAUAACAUGAAUUUGAACUGCCUGAGUCUGCUAAUAUGUGGAUUAUCUUCUGCUUCUGCACCCUGAGACAGCAAGACCAACCCUUCCUCUUGCUUCUUUUCCUUAGCCUAUUCAACGUGAAGAUGACUAAGGUAAGGACCUUUGUGACGAUCCACUUCCACUCAAUAAAAAAUACAUAUUUUUUUCCUCCUUAUGAUUUUCUUCAUAAGAUUUUCUUUUCUCUAGCUUACUUUAUUGUAAGAAUACAAUAUAUAAUACAUAUAUGAUAAAAAAGUGUUUAGUGAUUGUUUAUGUUAUUGGUAAGUCUUCCAGUCAAGAGUAGGCUAUUAGUAGUUAAGUUUUUGGAGAGUCAAUUGUAUUUUUCAAGUUAGGGAAUUUCCUCAGAGUUUUGGUGGUCAUUGACUAAGGCUCACAUUUUGAAAUGAGACGCUUAAAAGCAAAUUAGAAACUCAGUGUGUGGGGGUGGAACUUGUUAACUCUGAACUCACUACUUGUAAGGUGAUUUGGCCAAUCUGCUUCUCCAGGGGUAUUCUGUUGUUAGUGCUGCUAUAUCUUUUCUUGGAGUAGAUAGACUUCCUAGAGAGGUGUGCUUCAGUCUCUGGCAAGCAGAGUGUUAAGUCUGGCUUCUUAUGCUCUGAGAGCUAAGGUCCUCAUACUCAGUGUGUAACCUCUCACUCAAUCUUCCUGUGUUCAGUACACUGUCCCUGCCCUCAACAAUGCUGUAUAUGCCCCACUAUGCUUUAUUCUUUCCAGGAAUUAAGCCUUCAGUUGUCUGGGUUGGGGAAGGGGCAGGAUGAGGGGCCUGGGGAGGGUCUAUCUACUUCUUAAACAUACUUCCAGCCAGUCAUUGUGUCAACAGACUCAACUUCCCACCUAUGUCCAGUGGUACCCUGGGAUUCUGCAGUGAAAAUCGGGCUUGUUCUUAUUGUUAGCUUGGGGUUCAACUUCCUUAGGUCUGUUAAGUGAGUUAUCACUGGUUCAUCUGCUUCCUAGAGCCCCAGAUUUUAUUUGUUUAUGUUCUUUCUGGUUAUCUUUUUCAUUGAGGUUUAAUGCUUAAAAAAAAUUUUCCAGCCGGGCACAGUGGCUCACACCUGUAAUCCCAGCACUUUGGGAGGCCAAGGAGGGUGCAUCACCUGAAGUCAGGAGUUCGAGAACAGCCUGGUCAACAUAGGGAAACCCCAUCUCUUCUAAAAAUACAAAAAUUAGCUAGGCAUGAUGGCGGGUGCCUGUAAUCUCCGCUACUUGAGAAGCUGAGGCGGGAGAAUCGCUUGAACCCAGGAGGUGGAGGUUGCAGUGAGCUGAGAUCAGGCCAGUGCCCUCCAGCCUGGGUGACAGAGUGAGACUCCAUCUCAAAAAAAAAAAAAAUUCCUUUGCUGUAAUAUUUAUUGGAAUUUCUGGGAGGGAGCAGAAAUAAUGUUUAUGUUCCAUCCACCACUUUUAAGUGGAAGUCUAUAAUAUCCUCUUACAGCAUUGAACGAUUUUAUGGUGAGGGUGAGAAGAUGUUUUAGCAUGUGGCUCAAAGGAAAUGGGAACAGCUUUUUCGGAAUUGAUAAUAGAUGUAGGAAGUUGGCAUGGCUGCCUAUCAUUCUCUUAGAUUAAAGCAGAGAUCCUAGGGAAGAAUUAGUGAGAAGGAUGUCUUUUGAAAGCUUGACCAAAGUUUGGAUUCCAUUUCAUACUUAGAGAAAGAGAAUGAGGGAUAUCUGUAUUUAGGAAGUACUGCACUGGUGAUUUUGUGGAGACUCUAUGCCAAGAACCCAGUUCAUAUUUCUAGGAGAGGUUGAAAACCGUAGGUCAUCAAUUCCUAGGCAGGUAGCAGUGCCAGGGCCCCUACAAACUUAACUGUAGUCAGGUUUUGACUUUUACAUUGCAACCAACACCCACAGAUCAUUGAUCUCUUUUUCAGGGGGUGGGGUGGGGUAGGGCCUGUAGCCAUGGGGUUUAUUAUGUUAGAAUUUGGACUGAUGCUUUUGGGUGUAAUGAAUUGUGACUUGCUGAAAUGGUUAGGGAAAAGGUUUAUAUAAAAGUCUCCUAAUUAGCACCACAAUGCUGGAAAAGGAGAAGAACAAAAUUAUAUCAAGAGACCAUGGACCAUUAAAACAAUUUUGUUGAAAUUCACAACUGCUCUGAACUACUGCUACCACGACCACCACCACCGCUACUACUUAUAAUGGCAAUUAUUUAUUAAGCACCUGUGAGGCUUCCAGCACCAUUCUAAGUAAUGGGCAUACCUUCCCUCAUCUGAUUCACAUACAAAAAUGUAUGAAGUAUCAUUUGCACAGGCAGUCAAUAGUUAAGUGAAUAACAAUAACUAACACUUAUUACAAGAUUACUAUAUCCCACUCAAUCUUCAAAGUUCUUCAUAUGCAUGACUCAUUACAGCCUCAUAAUAGCUUUACGAAAUCAGUUCUUCAUACUCACUAUUUAAUGGAUAAAGAAUCUGAGCCUCAGAAGGUUAAGGAACUUCUCCAAGGUCAGCUGUGGCAGAUUUGGAGAUAACCCAGGUUUGUAUUACUCUUCCUAUUCUACAAAUAAGAGGAAGUGCCUGGAUUCAAGAGGAGAAAAGCAUAUACCACAUUUUGGGGAAAUGGUAAUAGAAAAAUGAGGUAAAGUCCAUCGGAGACACAGUUUUCUCUCUCAGAGUUUGGCCAAAAAUUUGCCUGGUGUCUGAAAUAGGCUAAUGUAUCAAUAAUCCUAUGUAAUAUUUCCAUAGUUCUUUGUUGUUUGGAAGGCAUACUUGCAGUCGCAAUCUGCUUUGGUCCUCACGAUAACCCAGGAAAGUAGAAAAUUCAGGGACUGCUGUCUCCAUUUCACAGACAAGGAAACUGAACUCAAAAAUUAAAAUAAUUUGCCCAUAUUCGCACAGACAGUAAGUGUGAAAAUCUCAGGCAUCAUUUCUUCAUUCAUUCAUUCAAAACAAAUAUAAUUUUUUGAAGUCUACCAUGUACCUGGCAG
ensembl:lncRNA LINC01151 long intergenic non-protein coding RNA 1151